rnacentral:tRNA from 1 species
UCCCUUAUGGCUCAACUGGUAAAGAAUCUGCCUGCAAUGCUGGAGACCUGGGUUUGAUCCCUGGUUUGGGAA